CCUACGGGCGGCAGCAGUGAGGAAUAUUGGUCAAUGGGCGCAAGCCUGAACCAGCCAAGUCGCGUGAGGGAAUAAGGUCCUACGGGUUGUAAACCUCUUUUGUCGGGGAGCAAGGGCCGCCACGAGUGGCGGGACGGAGAGUACCCGGAGAAAAAGCAUCGGCUAACUCCGUGCCAGCAGCCGCGGUAAUACGGAGGAUGCGAGCGUUAUCCGGAUUUAUUGGGUUUAAAGGGUGCGUAGGCGGGAUGUUAAGUCAGCGGUCAAAUUUCGGUGCUCAACACCGGCCUGCCGUUGAAACUGGUGUUCUUGAGUGGGCGAGAAGAAGGCGGAAUGCGUGGUGUAGCGGUGAAAUGCAUAGAUAUCACGCAGAACUCCGAUUGCGAAGGCAGCAUACCGGCGCUGAUCUGACGCUGAGGCACGAAAGCGUGGGUAUCGAACAGGAUUAGAUACCCCAGUAGUC
rnacentral:rRNA from 1 species